AUACUGCAAGUCGAGCGGACCGACGGGAGCUUGCUCCCUUAGGUCAGCGGCGGACGGGUGAGUAACACGUGGGUAACCUGCCUGUAAGACUGGGAUAACUCCGGGAAACCGGGGCUAAUACCGGAUGCUUGAUUGAACCGCAUGGUUCAAUCAUGAAAGGCGGCUUCGGCUGCCGUUUACAGAUGGACCCGCGGCGCAUUAGCUAGUUGGUGAGGUAACGGCUCACCAAGGCGACGAUGCGUAGCCGACCUGAGAGGGUGAUCGGCCACACUGGGACUGAGACACGGCCCAGACUCCUACGGGAGGCAGCAGUAGGGAAUCUUCCGCAAUGGACGAAAGUCUGACGGAGCAACGCCGCGUGAGUGAUGAAGGUUUUCGGAUCGUAAAGCUCUGUUGUUAGGGAAGAACAAGUACCGUUCGAAUAGGGCGGUACCUUGACGGUACCUAACCAGAAAGCCACGGCUAACUACGUGCCAGCAGCCGCGGUAAUACGUAGGUGGCAAGCGUUGUCCGGAAUUAUUGGGCGUAAAGCGCGCGCAGGCGGUUUCUUAAGUCUGAUGUGAAAGCCCCCGGCUCAACCGGGGAGGGUCAUUGGAAA
rnacentral:rRNA from 1 species